UAAAGUAUAGUGGUUAAUCCAUUUUUGGCCGUUAACCAAAAGAAAUUAUUUAAAUAUUUUAU
rnacentral:tRNA from 1 species